AUUGAACGCUGGCGGCAGGCCUAACACAUGCAAGUCGAACGAGUGGCGGACGGGUGAGUAACGUCUGGGAAACUGCCUGAUGGAGGGGGAUAACUACUGGAAACGGUAGCUAAUACCGCAUACCAUCGGAUGUGCCCAGAUGGGAUUAGCUAGUAGGUGGGGUAAAGGCUCACCUAGGGGACGAUCCCUAGCUGGUCUGAGAGGAUGACCAGCAACACGGGAACUGAGACACGGCCCAGACUCCUACGGGAGGCAGAAGUGGGGAAUAUUGCACAAUGGGCGCAAGCCUGAUGCAGCAAUGCCGCGUGUAUGAAGAAGGCCUCCGGGUUGUAAAGUACUUUCAGCGGGGAGGCGUUACCCGCAGAAGAAGCACCGGCUAACUCCGUGCCAGCCGCCGCGGUAAUUC
rnacentral:rRNA from 1 species